GUUGCAGAGGACAGCUGAGCACUAACACAGACAGACACAAACAGCUCUGCUCCUGAUACAGCACUGAGGAAACACUUUGAUUCUGCCACAGGUCUACCACCCUGAGAGGAAUGGUGUGACUGAUCAUCAAUGCCUGCAGGUAUGUGGUGCUGAAGAUCCGGGCUGCAGUAAGAGGGGAGGUGCAGCCAGGGAAAACAAGCACCUCGGCCUGUAACCAGGCAAAAGGAGAAAUGGACGGCAGGAGAAGCGCUGAUGGGUCAGCCUUGAUUCCCCAACCAACACAGACAGUCGAUGUCCUGCCGAAGGACGAUUGUGGAUCCUGAAAGUAAACUGAGAGCUGAGGGUAGUGUGGAAGGUCUAUAA